rnacentral:rRNA from 1 species
UACGGGGGGGGUAAGCGUUGUUCGGAAUUACUGGGCGUAAAGGGCUCGUAGGCGGCCAACUAAGUCAGACGUGAAAUCCCUCAGCUUAACUGGGGAACUGCGUCUGAUACUGGAUGGCUUGGAUCCGGGAGAGGGAUGCGGAAUUCCAGGUGUAGCGGUGAAAUGCGUAGAUAUCUGGAGGAACACCGGUGGCGAAGGCGGCUCACUGGACUGGUACUGACGCUGAGGCGCGAAAGCGUGGGGAGCAAACAGG